GAUCGCCUGAUCCAGUCCCAAGACCUGUGUUCAUUGUGCUUUACGGCCUUUCAGGAAAUCUCUCCAAUCGAAAUGGAUAGCACGCAGGGAAAUCAAUAUAUAUUGCAGCUUGUCUGAAGCUUUCAGCAUAAUCACAUAACGGCAAACGGCAAAAGUGAUGCUGGGAUUCUUCAGAAUUUCACCAACACAAGGUAUGGUUAGAAUGUUAAAUCGUUUGAUGGUAUCAUCUGAAACCUGUUCUGCAAGGAUACACACCUGCACCGAAUUACUGGCAUCAAAAGUACACUAAUUUAGUGUUACAGAAUCAAACUGCAAAUACCCUAAAACACCUGAAUAAGCAGCCUACGUUUCAGCCUGUAUAAUGCAUACUACAUUCUGAGCUUCUGAUGAUUCCUUGCCUACUGUUCUCUUUUAACCUCUGAUAUCUCAAACCGACGAAGCAGUGUUACAACUACAGUCUAGAUUUCUAGUCGAUCUUGACUGAAGAGUAGAUGAGCCUGGUGAACCAGAAGCAGGCGUAGAAGCCGAUGGUGCCGGU